UUCGAUGACCAAGCAUUUGUCUGUGAACCAGGGCAGGUGGGUGGGGUUAAGGCCGUGUUUAUUAUAUCCAAACUGUUGCUGACGGAAGAGACGAGAAAUGAAACUUAACUGAGACCAACGGUUGCAGCCAAGAUGAGUCCAGGGUAUGAUAUCCAAGUCCCGCUGUUGUCGAUCAGACUCACAUUGGGAUCAGUUGACAAAUAGGACCUUGGUUUAACGUUUUCAGCUAGCAGAAAAACAGAAAUGGGAGGGAGGCUGAAGCCCCUGCAUCAUCAGACUAACCGUGCAGGAACAUCAUAAAGAAUGCAGGAAGCUACUGUUAAAGGAGCAGCAUUAUUGCUGCUGACGCAAAAGAAGAGAAAUGAAACUUAAGUAAGACUCCAGCUGAGUCCAUGCGAUGCUGUCCAAGACCGAACAAUCAAACUCACGGUGGGGUGAGGUGACAUAGGACAUCAGUCAGUGAAAAUAUUAAUGGUAUUAUUAUUAUUAUUAUUAUUAUUAUUAUUAUUAUUAUUAUUAUUAUAUGGGGAAGCCCACGUUACACCUGGUAUUGUAUUUAAAGAUGUGUAAUUACGCCAUCUAGCGGACUUUAGACCCGCUUUACUUUUUCUACGUGGUUAUUUAUUGUAUAUAAAUACAGACGUUUUAAUAAUGGUGGUGGCAAAUGUCACUACUCGGCAGCCAUCUUGAAGCGCAUCGGGGCACUUCCUUAGGCAGUUAUUUAGAAGCAUUAUCUCAAUAAGUUUUAAUUUCAGUGGUCAUUAGGGUAACUGUCUAUAUAUCACAGGUCUAAUUUUAUAAAUAUGGUUUUGCCCCAUAGAUUAAAUUUCUGGGUUUAUGAGUUAUAUUUUCUUAUGAUGUUUCUGGUUAAACACUGGUAGCUCAAAUGCGAGAAUCCUUUACAUACAGAGAGAAUUCUUAAUAGAAAUCUGAGGGAGUUUAGUAAGCAUCUUGAGUAGGUGACCUACAAACUGACAGGCUAAUGCAGAGGCCGGGGUUCAAAUUCACUUCAAUUUGCCGUUUGCCUCCCUCUGCUCUUUCUCUCAGCUCCCAGCUGUCUGGUCUUAUCUCCACUGCACUGUCGCAGUAAAGACACAAUAGAAAAAACAAACUAAAAUACCUGGAGCCACCAAAUUUCUGAAAAGCAAUAGCUUCCUCUACCACCCUAAGUAGACUAUAGACUGCAUAUCUAGGUAGACUUAGUGCUUAGUGAUUCUCAAAAAACUAGGAAAAACUUAACUUUGAUUUUUGGUGUGGUUUGAAUCCAGAUCUCAAAGGGCAACUGUUGUUGCAUAAUUUUGUUUCAACACAUUACACAAUGUACAACCCCUCAACAAAUUGAGAAAC